rnacentral:tRNA from 1 species
ACCUGGCUGGUUCAGUCGGAAGAGUGCGUGACUCUUGGUCUUGGGGUUGUGAGUUCGAGCCCCAUGCUGGGUG